GGGCUCUUGGCACAGUUGGUAGCGCGCACGCUUCGCAUUAGAUGCAUAUGCGUGAGGUCGUGGGUUCAACUCCCACAGUGUCCA
rnacentral:tRNA from 1 species